GUGGGGAAUAUUGGACAAUGGGCGAAAGCCUGAUCCAGCCAUGCCGCGUGUGUGAAGAAGGUCUUCGGAUUGUAAAGCACUUUAAGUUGGGAGGAAGGGUAGUAACCUAAUACGUUGCUACUUUGACGUUACCGACAGAAUAAGCACCGGCUAACUUCGUGCCAGCAGCCGCGGUAAUACGAAGGGUGCAAGCGUUAAUCGGAAUUACUGGGCGUAAAGCGCGCGUAGGUGGUUUUGUAAGUUGGAGGUGAAAUCCCCGGGCUCAACCUGGGAACUGCCUCCAAAACUGAAUGACUAGAGUACGGUAGAGGGUAGUGGAAUUUCCUGUGUAGCGGUGAAAUGCGUAGAUAUAGGAAGGAACACCAGUGGCGAAGGCGACUACCUGGACUGAUACUGACACUGAGGUGCGAAAGCGUGGGGAGCAAACAGGAUUAGAAACCCUUGUAGUCC
rnacentral:rRNA from 1 species